AGAAGAUAAAUGAAUGGUUGCGACCCUGUGCCUCCUCCCAGAGUUCUCAGCUGCUGGGCUGUGGCAUUGGUAUGUUUACUUUCCGUGCCUCCUUCAACGGUCACCCUGAAGCCAAUCUUAAAAUCCUGUGACUGGGCAAGCAAGCUCUUCUAGACGUCGUUACGUCCUGCUGAUAUGGAUGGGCAGGUCCUGACUUUAUUUUGAAACAGAACCAGAGCAAAGCUCCGUGAUGCUGCAUGGCCACAGGGUCGGUAAGCUCUCUUAAGACUGCUUACUCUGCUCUUUUUCUUUGAUCCAUGUUUUGUUCUUGCAAUUCUCCUUCCUUAAAAAUCUAUUUAGACUUUUUGAAAGUUCUCAGAGUUUGUACUUCCAGACAUAUCAGCACAUUUGGAGUCAAUAUUCCUAGGUUCCAUAUUACUGCCACUGUCUUCUGUCAGUGACCAACAGAAACACCUGUGGAUACACUUGUUACUUAUUACAAAGAGGUGACCUAUGUUAUGAGGAACUGAGGGUGACCCUGUGAGUUAUUGUUCUGAAUGGAUUUCCAUCACUGUGAAAAAUACAUGAAUAUAACAGGUUGAACAGGAAAUGGUUUCUUUUGACUGAUGCUUUCAAAAGUUCUUGUUUGUUGUCACUUAGCUCCAUUAUUUCUGGACUUGUGGUGAGGCAGAGGCUCAUAGAAGAGCUAAUUUGGUAGAGCAAAAGUGGAAAGAAAGAGGCAUAGGAAAGGAAGGAGAAAUUAGUUCCCUACUACUUACCAAUUCCAUCUUCUAAAGUUUCUGUUACUUCAUAGUAUAUUGAAUAGUAUUAUGAAUGCAUGAAUGAACUAAUCCAUUCACGAAUGCAUGGCCCUCACAUCCCAGUCACCUCUCAAAUGUCCCAACUGGAACCUUGCUUCAUAAGACAAUAUUUUCAGCAAAUGAGAUUUCGGGGCUAAUUUACAUCCAAACAAUAACAUGUCUGUAAUAAACAAAAAAUUAUAGAAUUAGAAUUUUGGUUGUAGAUUGGGUUAUAAAGUUAAGGAGAGUUGAGGAACAGAGUAAGAUAAGAUAAUUUUAUGAUUGUAUUAAUCUCCUACAAGCAGAGGUAAGACUAGAAUGAUGCUGGAGAUGUAAUUCAUAAAGAAGGAACUGCUGCACUGUGUGGGGAAGGAGAUGCAGCUUCUGUGGCUUCAAUGUAGUUCACAAAUUUCCUGCGUUCUCAUGUGAUUUUAGAGUGGCUUUCUUAUGUUUUAUUCACUAAGAUCUCAGAGAGUUACUAUCUAAAGAAGAACAUAGAAGUCCAGCUGUGACUGUCAGUGUAAACUGCUAGGACUUGAUUAACUCCCACAGGUUGGGCUAUUUUCCAUAUCUCACAGCAAACUUCCUUUACAAAGUCCACAUAUAAAACCCAAUUUCUUUAAGGAACAAAAAAGGACACAGAGGGAGUUGCCAUUUUUAGCAGCAAUGAAACAUCACUAACCCUUUUAUACACACAGAAUUCAAGUAUACCAGAGGUGAGUGCACCACAAAGUCACCAGAUACAAAAUUGCUAGUUCAUUUUAGUUCAAAUUGAAAGCAACAUCUCAG
rnacentral:lncRNA from 1 species